rnacentral:rRNA from 1 species
GACGAACGCUGGCGGCGUGCCUAAUACAUGCAAGUAGAACGCUGAAGAGAGGAGCUUGCUCUUCUUGGAUGAGUUGCGAACGGGUGAGUAACGCGUAGGUAACCUGCCUUGUAGCGGGGGAUAACUAUUGGAAACGAUAGCUAAUACCGCAUAACAAUAGGUGACACAUGUCAUUUAUUUGAAAGGGGCAAUUGCUCCACUACAAGAUGGACCUGCGUUGUAUUAGCUAGUAGGUGAGGUAACGGCUCACCUAGGCGACGAUACAUAGCCGACCUGAGAGGGUGAUCGGCCACACUGGGACUGAGACACGGCCCAGACUCCUACGGGAGGCAGCAGUAGGGAAUCUUCGGCAAUGGGGGCAACCCUGAACGAGCAACGCCGCGUGAGUGAAGAAGGUUUUCGGAUCGUAAAGCUCUGUUGUAAGUCAAGAACGAGUGUGAGAGUGGAAAGUUCACACUGUGACGGUAGCUUACCAGAAAGGGACGGCUAACUACGUG